UGGGAUAUGUCCCAAAGGGUUCCAGCUCUUUCUAGCUGUGUUGUAGCAAAUACUGUUCUGUGACAUCCUCAUGUUUUAACACUCAAAGUAGCAGCUAGGGAUACAAACACUUGCUUUUGUUUCUGAGCAAGAAAUCGGUGGGUGAGAAGACAGGACUGUAUUUCAGAGCAGUGAAGAGGGCCUCAGAAAGCUCUGCUUUACCUCUGCUGGAUGUAAAGAAGUUGUGAUGCCUCAGAGGUACCACAGAAGGAGCCAGAGCGUGCCCAUAACUUCCGAAAACUCUCUGUUCUUGCGUUUGUUCCACUGUCACAACUCCUAUGCUGUAAGGAGAGCUGAAGCAUGUCUGCAGGGGAGUUUUGGGAGAGAAUGGCUUAUACCAGGUAUUUAGAGUGCACAGUAAUUAAAUUGUAACAGUAAAGAAGUUAGUAAAGGUGAAGUUCAGUAGCUGUCUACUUACUUUUAGCAGAUGUGUGUCUUCGGGUUAAGCCACUGCUUUGGCAUCCUAAAAAAAGCUUUCCAGCAAUGUUGCUUUGGUGACGUUGAUAAUCUUUCUGCAUCUUCUCCCGUAUAUAAAACACAGGCAAACUUCCCUUCUCCUCAGCAGACUUGUUUGGGUCAGGGACUGCCUCUGAGGGUACAAAAAUCAUACCCAGCGCCAUACAGAACUGAUCCCGGAGCUCAGUUCAGCUCUAAGAGUGCCGCUGCAGCAGGAGCAGAUAGCAACAGGAACAUCCAGCCAUGCUGGCCGUGCAAUACUCGCUAACACAGAAGGUGAAGGGAGGCUGUUUACCUGACUGCAGAGCCUGAUUUUGAGUGUUCCUAUAAACAGCUUUCUCAGAAGCCAAGGUGAAAUCUGAUGCUCCAAAAGCAUCUACUAAUAUGUAAUAAUCAAAUUAUUUCUUUUUAAAUUUUAAUGCAAAGGAUUAUAUGUUUUGUACAUUACACAAAUCCAUUAAAAGUACUAGAAUGUAAGUACCAAUCCUUGAUUCUAUUAGGCUUCAAAAUAGAAAUGCUUUGAGUUUUCUUUUGAUUUCUAUUUCAAGUCUUUUCUGAAUUCUGUGGAAGCUUCCCAUAAAAGGGCUUUGUUUUCAGCUGUAGUUCCUGCUUUUCCCCGAGAGCGCAGCGAAGGGGAUGGUUAGGUAUGCCGUCACACUGAGUUGGUCAUGUUAGUAAAUUCUUUUCUAUAAGGAGGUGUCAGAUUGUUCAGCCAGCUGAAGUAAUCCAGUUGGCAGGAGAGUGACUUAAUUCAAUAAGCAGAAUUUAAAAAACACUGUGGUUCUUUGUUUAACAGCCAGAUUCUACAAAAUUAGCUCCAGCUCUGAAAUAAUUCCUCUCCCCACCCUGCCCAUACUAUCCCCCUUCUGUCCUGCAUGUCACUACCUCUUCUCAUUGCCUUGUUUUGUCUGGUACUAUUCAGUGCUGGAGUCGUUCUGCACGUCUCCUAUGGUGAUCUGCUCAGCCCAGAGUCAAGUCAAGGCUCUCGAUUUCAGCUCAGGGAGUGAGGCAGCUGGAAAGGAUACAGGCAUCUUGGUGUUGGGUACUGCUGUCCCACUGUGCAUGCCCUGUGCAGUAAUUCACUUCUCUCUGGAGGGAUUGCCAGGUGUCUAAAAUAAAUCCUCAGCAGGAAUGCAUGACUUGUGCAGGCAGAUGACAGAGGUUGAUCUAAAUCUAUCUGUAGACAUGGCUGGGCAGGGAGGACCCAUGUCCCUUCAGCACUGGGAGGGAAGACUGUACACCCACAGCACACUGCUGGAUUUUACACAGGGAAACUUGUAAACGGUUGAGUUCAGUUAUCUUGAGCAAAGGGCGUGCUUUGACCUGUUAUUGCUGUCACAAUGUGAGCACCCACCACCAGCAAAUCUGGUAGAAGUAAAAAACACUCAGGGAAGAGAAACUGUCUGUGCUACAGUCCUAAGUUUUCUACACUGCUGCUCCUUGCUCCCUGGAAAAUGUGCUUUGCUUUUCUUUUUCUUUUUUUCUUCCCCUUGUCUAUUGGGAUGGAUGAGCAGACAAGUUACCUGCCUGGUGUUGUUGGCAGUUCCUGGUAGGAGUAGGCUCCACUACUGCUCAGAGAUGCUUCUUAACAUAUUCUCUCUCUUUCAUAUUUUGCCUUUCCAGAGUACAGUUUGUUUGUGCACUGCCCAGGUUCAGGGUUGUACAUUUCAUACUGCCAGCAGCCCUGGAGCUUUUUUCCGAAGAUAUUUCUUCCUUUCUCUUCACCUAUGCUCCACUUUGUACCUUUGCUACUUUGAGGAAACCAUCACUGUUGGUUAGUGUUUUUCUUCUUAGAGGAGAAUAUCACUUUGAUCUGUAUUGCUUGAAACCACACAAAGUUUGUUCCAAAGCACAUCCUGCAGAACCAUUCCCCAGGAAAAGGGCUCUGAGACUACUGAUCACAGUUGGCAAGGGUGUUUUCUUCUCUGCAGUCCUCUGCUGGCUUUCUGUCCCUGCAGUGUGUGUCCAGCAGCAACAGCUGGGAAAAUAAAUGGUGAAGAAAGAUAGUGUACAAAAUACCACUCCAUACUGGAUACACAUGUAUGGCAGGCAGCUCCUUGGGAGCAGCAACUGCCUGUUCCAGGUCUUCAUUGCAAACCUGCCCACAAGACACUGUUGGAGGAACAUCCCAGGACAGUGCCAGGGAAGGUGGGGGAACAGCACAGAUCCACAUGCUGUCUGCAAGGGGAGAUGGCUUCAGGACUGCUCUCAUAGCUGUUCUUCCUCUGAAUUCACCUCUUUUUCUUGCUCUCCCUACCCCUGUAGAAAGCAGAAAGGGAUCAGGACAAACUGAAGGGAGUUUUCCUGGUGCUGCCGGCUCUCCCAGGGAUGGUAGGGGAGAGUGGCAUGUAGACCACUGUGUCUGAGUUCACAGACCAGGAGAGCUGUAGGAAGUGUAAAAUGUUUUGCCCAGAUCAGGUUCCUUCUGAGGAGACCUGGAGGAGUGAAGCAGGGUGAAUGGUCAGGCCCAGGGCACAAGUGCUCCAGCAGCAACAUGCAGAGCAAGAGCAAAGCAGCCUGUGCCCUGCAGCACCUGAGCUGUUCCGUCAUUUCAGGGAGGAGGCAGCCAGCCAGGCUUAGUCCCUUCAGAAGAGUACCUGGAGGGGGUCCUGUGGACUUCUAUUCGGAUUCAUGAAUAAUGCAAACACUCCUAAAGGUCAUAUUAAUGGAAAAUUACAAUUUUCCUAUUAGCCCAUGUUUCAAGUCUUGUAAAGAUCACAUGUUCAGAAAUAACACAGAGAAGUAUAUGACCGCCUUAUUUAUGUGCUGCCAAGUUUUACCGCCCUUUUUAUUGAGUGAGCCAUUUUCCUGGCUGAAUAUGGUACCACUGACUGUAAGUAUGGCAGAGAGCCUGACUGAUGGAGAAUGAAGGUAUGCAGCAAGUAUUGCUCGUCUCUCUCUGGCAACUGUGCUGUUAUGAUUUGUGUCUGUCAUUCACAAAUCCUUUACUUUCUUUUUCAAAUGUACCUUGGUAAUCUUAAAGAAGCACAGAUGCAACUGAAAUUCUAGGCAAAAUUGCACUAAACGUAUCACCCCUUUUGUUCUUUUCUACUACUGGUAUGUGAUUUAUCCUUUGCUUUUCAUUUCAGGUCUGCUGUUUUGUUGUUGGAGUAUAUUUUCUAGUCUGCAUUAUAAGAAAACCCAUACAUGAAGAAAGGAAGAAAGAAGUAGAUACAAAACAAACCACAGGCAUGGCCAUUGAUUUUUCUGGAGAAUGGAUGACCUGCCUUCUUCAGGUCUCCAGACCUGCUUCAAAAUAUGCAAGCUUGUAGUCAUAGGCGUCAGGGCACUACUUACAGCUGGCAAGUGUGCUGCACUGUGUGUUACUGUCACUUGGGGGACACUCCAUCUCACACAAACCUACCUCAGCUAGGGUUUUCCCAUCCCAGUCACCAUGAGAGAAGGCUGGUGAUUCUUCCUGCAACUGCAAAAUGUUGUUGCAGUUGCAGGCUGCAAAUGUCAUUUUGCCUGUGUUCCUUGCCACAGCCCAGCAGCAAAAGCAAGGGGAGAAGGGAAGUUGGCUGCAGCACUGAGUGGCAAGCCCAAUGUCAAUGACAAAAGAGGAGGACCAGAUUUAGUGAGCAUUCCUUGAGCUGCCCUCCUAAUACUGAUAGGCAAGUAUCUUCAGCACUCCCUAAGCCUAGGAGCACCGGGUCCCUUUCCUUGGAACAUGCCUGUUGGCAAAAGCACCCUGAAAAUGUCUCAUUCUGCCUCAGACUCUCUCACCUGCAGCCCCUUUAUGGAGUCAAGCAGUUCUAGUUCAUCCACCAUCUAUUUUGACACCCAAGGAUCUUCCCAGCCCUGCAAAGUGCACAGCUUUGAAGCUGGUAGGUUUUGUGGAGUAGCAGCAUGUGUUACUGUGACUAUUGCGUGGGGCAAGAUGGGUCACCCGUAUGUUGGUAUCUGUAGCAUUAUUUUUGUGUCUAUGAAAGCUAUUAAUUAAGUCUUUUCCUUAAAUGUCUCAGAUGGGACUUCCCAGAAAUUGUCUUUGGGCUGAUGCUGAUUGCAUCAGCCAGCACAUGUACAGGGAGCAGCUUAGCUGUGUGCACCACUGAGCAGCCCAGAUGAUGGCUGCAGUGCAGAAGGAGUGCUGGGGGAGGCACAGCUCUGAAAUGCUGUGGAUCCCAGUGGCUGUGCCUGCUAUGGAGACAUCCAGAGAGGACCUUCUUUCAGGAGGAGCGCACUUCAUCAGAUGAGCAGGAGGAUCCAUCUCCACUUCAGCUGUCAGCCGAGGAGCAGUGAAUCAGUAAGCUGAAUAACAAACCUACAAAACCUAGCUUUUUUUCUGCUGAAGAGUUCUAGAAGAAUGUGAAGCUUGCACCACUCAACUAACUGCAGUGCAAAUCUUUGUAAGUCAGCACUGAGGCUGAGAAAUGGAAGUCAGCAGGUGUAGCUAAGCCUUGUGAAAGGCUUCAGAGGUAAUCCGUUGACCUACUGAUUAAUGUCAAGCUCUUUUACCAAACAAUCUAUUUGAGAACUGUGUUUGUGUAAUUAUCGUUUAUGUUCCUUUAUGGUCUGCAAAAUGUUUGGAAUAGCAAAUACUUUCCAGAAGACUGGAAAUGAUUUUGAGGUCUGAUGCCUCUACUGGCAAUCUUUGAAAGAGCCUGCAAGAGUGUGGUUCAGAUGAUACAGUCAGCCCCAAGUACUUCAGUUGCCUUGCACUGAGGAGCUGAUAAUGACAGCUAUUGGACAUACUGUUGGGCUGGAUAAAACUUGGACAAAUUGUGUCCCUGUGUCUUCAACAGCUUCUGGAUCCUGGGGCUGUCUGUGUUCUCCAGAAGAGCUCCAUACAGAGGAGUCACUUUCAUCAUCUUGAUUUGUGCAGCAUUUUCCCAGUAGAGGUGCAGAUCUUUUUCCAAUAACAACAGCUUGCAAAAAUUACUUCUUGUGGAAGCUCUAGAAAUAAUCAACAGCUCUCCACAGUCCGAGGCCAUAGGCAGGAGAGGGAAGGAGCAGUGCACUGCUACACUUUAUCUUGAUUUGCUUUUAUUUUGUACAUGGCUCCAAAGGAUAUCCUUAAGUUUUUCCUGUCAUUUUGUCUCUGACAGCUACUCCAAAGCCAGCAAAUAUGCCUAGCAAGCAUCAAAUGCCCUGAAAACCAAUGAGUUUUAUCUUCAACCCAGAUCUGGAGCAACAGUAGCAAAAAAAUGCUGGUUUUCUAGAUUUGAUCAGGUGUGUGGCAGAUGACUACUUUCCCCAGUAUGGCUGAUAAGACACCUUUAUGACUCCACACCCAGGAAGAGCAGCAACAACAGGUUUGGAUGACAGCAAGUAACUUUUUCUCAUCACUUAGCCACAUAGAUACUAGCCAGCAUUAAUCAUCUGGAGCACACAGAAAGCCUCAUGGAGCUUCAGAGGAGAGGUGUCAAUACUCCUCAUGCUUCAGAGGUACCUCAGCAGCGUCCUCCUAGAAAACAUGGUGAAAUGAGUAGUUUAAUUCUUGGUCAAUAGCAUGUUGCUACUGAAGAGGAGAUUUCUUCCAACCUUGAAUCUGCUCUUUUCAUUUUCUCUCAGCCAACAGUAUCAAUCACCUUACUGGGCUCUGCCCUUGCUGUACUGGUGAGGGACUUUUUCCCAGCAUUCAGUUAAAGCCCAUUGUUCCCUGGGAGCACAAGCCUGCCGGACUUCAUCACUCCGAUCACUAUCAGUCCUUGCUGGACGCUGCAUUCCUUUGGGAUAAAGCUUUAGAAGAGCUUUUGUGUGAGCCAUCAAUGAGGCAAACAGCUCUGACAGCCCCUAGAGCUGGGCUUCGUUUGGCUUCAUCCAGAGUUUGGCGUCACUCAGCCUAAUCCAGACACGUUUUAGUGAGGCGGUAACUGCUUUCCUUUUCCUUACUUGUUUGUGAGGACAUUCUGCAGCUUCUUUAUUUUUUGUUAAUUCUUGCAAAAGCUCUCGUGAGCAGAAUCAAGCACAUGAUCCUGAACUUAAUCUUUAAAUGGGGUACGGGGUUUUUCUGGUAUUUAUGUAUUUUAAACACAGUUUUAACUCUCCGGCAGGAGUGGACCACCACACUAGAAACUAGUGGGUCCAAAGCCGUGACUGGGCUGAGUGGGAUAAGGCUUGCCUUGCCAGGAGGAUGUGGACCUUGUAGCAGCAAACACAGGGGAGGUGGGAGACUUUUGGAGGAGCAGUGGGGAGGGUCAGGUGGAUGGUCCCAUGUCCCCCAGCACUGCAUCCAUGGGGAAUGAGUCCACAAAGGAAAACAGGUUUGUGCCAGCUGGGGUUCCGUGCCCAGUGGAAAAUGGAGCUCAGCUCUCAUGGAGUGCUUCUGGUGCCUGGCACAGUGUGCAGCUCUUCUCAGUUGACCUGCAGCAGCCAAAGUGCUCCCUAAUGCAGCUGUACUGGGGGUUAGCAGUAAAUGCACUUGCGUUGCAUUAAAAUUACUUUGUCAAAUAUA